rnacentral:rRNA from 1 species
UUUGAUACAAAUAGGGCAAGAAUAACUAAGGGUGAAAUCUGUAUUCUUUUGGCGGUCUUUGAUUAAAAUAACCUUCAGACGGAGAAAUGACUAGGAUUAGAUACCCUAUUAAUCCGUCCAAUUUAACCUGGGUAGUAAAUUUCAAACCUAAAGAAUUUGGCGGUUUCUAAACUCACUAGAGGAACCUGCCCCAUAAUCGACAAUCCACGAAGAUACCAACCCGGACUAGUCAAACAGUUUAUAUACCGUCGUUUAGGGGGUUAAAUUAAUAACCCCCCUUAAUUGCUUAGGCAAAUAAAUCAGAUCAAGGUGUAACUUAUGCCCGGGGGGAGGUGGGUUACAAUAAGAACUUACACGGAAUCCAAGUCUUAGGACAUGAAGGAAGGUGGAUUUAGAAGUAAGAUUUAGCUUUCUGAAGAGAGCUCUAAGUAAUGUACACAUCGCCCGUCGCUCUCUUGUCUGAAGAGAUAAGUCGUAACAAAGUAGGUAAACCGGAAGGUUUAUCUUGAAA